UGCGUUUCUUCUUCUGUCCUCUCUCUACUUGUCUUUAAUAUUUAUUAAACAACAUAAUAAAUAAACAGUUUUACUAAAAAGAAAUGUUACAGAAACGAUUGGUAGCAUUACAGUAGCUGCCUUUAACCCUCAUGAACACAGGUAACCAUGGGAACAGGUGUUAGUGAGUUAAUAGUGACUCAGGUGUGCUCAGGCUGUAUCUGUCCUGUGAUUGGCUGUCGGGGAGGAGUGAUGAAGAUGAGAACGGUUUCGCUAAAACUGCUGAUAUCCUGUGAUGUCACACCUUCUCUUGGCUGUCUGACCAAUCCGCUGCCAGCUCAUUAUGGGAUGUAAACUCUGUUAGCGGUUAGCUCGUUGAAUUUGAAGUAAACUCUGUCUCUCUCUCCUCAGUCACAGACGGACGACACCAGCUCGUUCCCAAAGACGUUAGAGAGGAGGCGGAGAAAUACGCCAAGGACUCUCUGGAGGAGGAGGAUGACUCCGAUGAAGACAACAUGUAGACUCCUAUGACGCCGCCCCUUCUUCACUUUAUUUUGUAUGUUUUGUAGUUCAUGAACUUUCAUGUUUCAUUUGGUUUGAAUUUCCGCUUCCAAAAUAAAAAAAAAAGACCAGUUUGA